AGUGAACGCUGGCGGUAGGCCUAACACAUGCAAGUCGAACGGCAGCACAGUAAGAGCUUGCUCUUACGGGUGGCGAGUGGCGGACGGGUGAGGAAUACAUCGGAAUCUACUUUUUCGUGGGGGAGAACGUAGGGAAACUUACGCUAAUACCGCAUACGACCUACGGGUGAAAGCAGGGGAUCUUCGGACCUUGCGCGAUUGAAUGAGCCGAUGUCGGAUUAGCUAGUUGGCGGGGUAAAGGCCCACCAAGGCGACGAUCCGUAGCUGGUCUGAGAGGCUGAUCAGCCACACUGGAACUGAGACACGGUCCAGACUCCUACGGGAGGCAGCAGUGGGGAAUAUUGGACAAUGGGCGCAAGCCUGAUCCAGCCAUACCGAGUGGGUGAAGAAGGCCUUCGGGUUGUAAAGCCCUUUUGUUGGGAAAGAAAAGCAGCAGGUUAAUACCACGCUGUUCUGACGGUACCCAAAGAAUAAGCACCGGCUAACUUCGUG
rnacentral:rRNA from 1 species